AAGACGCCUAGCCCAGCCACACCCCCACGGGACCCAGCAGUAAUUAAUAUUAAGCAAUAAGCGACCACCCCAAGCUUGACUUAGUUAUGGUUUACUGGGCCGGUAAAUUUCGUGCCAGCCACCGCGGCUAUACGAAAGGCCCAAGAUAACUAAACCGGCAAAAAGCGUGACUAGAGCACACAACCCACAUGCGACUAAAACCAUGGACUCAGUUAUAAAACACACAAGACACAUUAGAACUUCCCCAGUCCCAUUAAAAAUUAACUCUUGACUCACGAAAACCAAGGAACAAACUGGGAUUAGAUACCCUACUAUGCUUGGUCAUAAACUUUGACAUACCACUGUCCGCCAGAGAACUACAAGUGAAAAACUUAAAACUCAAAAGACUUGACGGUGUCCCACAUCAACCUAGAGGAGCCUGUCCUAUAAUCGAUACCCCACGAAAUACCUUUCCUUUUCUAGCCUCUAACCAGCCUAUAUACCGCCGUCGUCAGCCUACCCUACAAAGGCCACCGAAUAGACAAGUUAGCUUACCCGCAAAAACGUCAGGUCAAGGUGUAGCAUAUGAAAAGGAGAGAGAUGGGCUACAUUUUCUAGCAAGAAAAUACCACAACCACCCUGCAAAAGUGCCCAAAGAUGGAUUUAGCA
rnacentral:rRNA from 1 species